rnacentral:rRNA from 1 species
UACGUAGGUGACCAGCGUUGUCCGGAUUUACUGGGCGUAAAGAGCGCGCAGGCGGUCGUUCAAGUCGAGUGUGAAAGCCCCCCGGCUCAACUGGGGAGGGGUCACUCGAUACUGAUCGACUUGAAGGCAGGAGAGGGAAGCGGAAUUCCCGGUGUAGUGGUGAAAUGCGUAGAUAUCGGGAGGAACACCAGUGGCGGAAG